rnacentral:tRNA from 1 species
GCUCAAGUGGUGGAAUUGGUAGACACGUUGGAUUCAAAAUCCAAUGUCGUAAGACGUGUGGGUUCGAUUCCCACCUUGAGUA